AUCCUACGGGAGGCAGGCAGUGGGGAAUAUUGCACAAUGGGCGCAAGCCUGAUGCAGCCAUGCCGCGUGUAUGAAGAAGGCCUUCGGGUUGUAAAGUACUUUCAGCAGUGAGGAAGGUGGGUAUGUUAAUAGCAUAUUCAUUUGACGUUAGCUGCAGAAGAAGCACCGGCUAACUCCGUGCCAGCAGCCGCGGUAAUACGGAGGGUGCGAGCGUUAAUCGGAAUUACUGGGCGUAAAGCGCAUGCAGGUGGUUUGUUAAGUCAGAUGUGAAAGCCCGGGGCUCAACCUCGGAAUUGCAUUUGAAACUGGCAAACUAGAGUACUGUAGAGGGGGUAGAAUUUCAGGUGUAGCGGUGAAAUGCGUAGAGAUCUGAAGGAAUACCGGUGGCGAAGGCGGCCCCCUGGACAGAUACUGACACUCAGAUGCGAAAGCGUGGGGAGCAAACAGGAUUAGAUACCCUGGUAG
rnacentral:rRNA from 1 species